rnacentral:lncRNA from 1 species
AGUUCGCUGACUUCCAUCGCAGAAAAAGUAUUUUCAAGAUUCAUCAGCAAGAGGAGUGAAGAGGUUUAUUAGGCAAAAUUAAAACAGUCCCCUCUCAGAGAAUGGAGGACAAGCCUUGGGACAGAGAUGCAUCUUGGUCUGGGGUGGAGUUCCCAUGGAGUCGGGUGUCCUCAAGGUGGGGGACCUAGGACUUCAUUUCCGUGCCGGCCAGGCUAAGUUAGAAGGCUGACGUCUGUGUGUAUCGCAGCUUCCAGAUUUCUGUGGCAGGAAGUAUAAUUCAUGGGAGAAAAGUUGAGCCCAGGUGCCUUAGGCCCUCACCCUGUUACAGCUCCUGAGGGUAGAUUUUUACCUAGGGUUUGUAAAACAACAUACACACAAAAAAAGAAUUAGAGAUAUAUGUUCUGAAGGAGAGACAAAAUCACUUUAUUAGGAAAGGAAGGGAAAAGGGGAAACAAAAUUACUUGAUUGGAGAGAGGGAGAGAAAUAAAGCGAUAGAUAGCUACUUUGUUGGAGUAAGUUAGGGAGCCCAGAGCCAGAACUCAAGGGGUCUUUGUUCGUAGCCUCUGAUUACAUGGCAAGAAACGGACCGUGUCCCUUGAGAGCUGUCGUAACUUCACUGGCUGUUCUGGGCUCUGAGACCUCUGACUCGGCCAUGGCCCUCGCUGUUGCCCAUGUAUACAUUCUGGAACAAGCACUUCUGCGGUCCCUUUGUGUUGUCCGGGUGUUUAUCUUGUGAGACUUGCAGCACAAUUACAUUUAAGGCUGAGUUAGUAAAAAGGAUACCUGUGCAUUUUAGUGUAUUAAUAUGGUGAGAAAAUAACAAAAUAUGUAUGUACUUAUACAGAGGUGCAGGAAUUGAGCCUUGCCCUUAAGUGAGCCAGGAGCCUCAUCAGCUCUGUUUGUUUUUCUUAGCUACUGUCUCUAGCAGGGCUUUAACUCUUUAUUUGCCAGAAACCUCGCUGAAGCCCUUUAACUUUCCCUGCCUGUCCCUCAACCUUCCCUACAACCCUUAGGGGAAAGAAGAAGUAUUUUUGAGUGUGCCGAGUGACUUGUGUCCUGAAGCUGAGUUUUUCUAGCAACACAAUUUUAAAGUUUCACCUCUCUUUGCCCGUUCUCCACCUGUCUUCGUUUCUCCCAUCCCACCUCAGCACUGUUACCCACAGGCUGGGACCCUCCCAGGCUAAAGGGUCAAAUAGAGAAAGCAACACGUUCACACUGUGCAGAAUUUAACAAGGAAGCAAACGACAAAUCCAGGAAGGGAACUGCUUGGUGCAAGACACAGCCUCCCACCCCCUUCACAGGGUCACAUGAGUUACAGAGACACCAGGCCAUCUGCACCUUUAACCUCAUCCCUGAUCUCAUCACAUGGAGGUAGAAAGUUGUUCUUUAUCUUAGGUAACACAGGUUCAGGCUGCUUUUUUUUUUUUUUUUUUUUUUUUUUGUGCCGGGAAUCGAACUCGGGUCCUUCCGCUUGCAAGGCAGGCAGGGAACCACUGAGCUAAAUCCCUGGCCCCAGGCUGAUUUUAAGAAUAAAAAAAAGCUUAAAGCUGGGUGUGGUGGUGCACUCCUGUAGUCCCAGCACUCGGGAGGCUGAGGCAGGAGGAUUGCCACAAGUUUGAGACAGCCUGGGCUGCACAGUGAGUUCAAGGCCAGCCUGAACUACAAAGAGAGACCCUGCCUAAAAAGCAACAACAACAAAAAAGAACAAAAAAGCUUAAUAAUCAUUGGGAAAAUUUUUUGCCAAAUAGACAUUCAUUUUCUAUUAUAUAAAACAAAAAGAGUGACAUACCUAUCAUACAUACUAGACCCAUACCUAUCACCAUGCACUAAACUAAGAUCGAAGUGGAUUAAAGAUCUAAAUAUUAAAACAGAAACACUAAACUUGCUGGAAGAUAAGUUAGGUAGAACUCUCAAAGACAUUGGCAUAGGAAAAGACUUUAUGAACAAAACCUCAGUAGCAUGGGAGCUAGCACAAAGAAUCGACAACUGGGAUCUCAUCUUAUUAAAAUCUUCUGCACUGCAAAAGAAACCACCAACAGAGCUAAGAGACAACCUACAAUGUGGGGAAAAAAUUUUAGCAGCUGUACCUCAAACAAAGGACUACUAUCUAGAAUACAUAAAGAACUAAAAAAAAAUCAGACCCCCCAGAUAUAAAGACCCAAUCCAAAAAAUGAAAUAAAACAGAAAUAAUGUCUGAAAUAAACAGACAUUUCUCAAAGAAGUAAAAGCAGCAAAGAAACAUAUGAAAAAAUGUUCAACAUCACUGGUCAUUCGAGAGAUGCAGAUGAAAACAAUGCUGAGAUUCCACCUCACCCCACAAAGAAUGGCUGCUAUCAAGAAAUCAACCAAUAACAAAUGCUGGCGGGGUGUGGAGAGAAAGGAACCCUUCUCCAUUGCUGGUGGGAGUGCAGACUGGUGCAGCCACUAUGGAAAUCAGUAUGGAGAUACCUCAAAGAACUAGGGCUAGAGGUCCCAUUUGACCCAGCUAUUCCUCUGCUGGGUAUUUUCCCAAAAGAAUUAAAAGAAUCAUACCACAGCAAUAUAUGCAUACCCAUGUUUAUAGCAGCAGUUUGUAAUAGCUAAAGCUUCGAAAUAGCCCAUGUGCCCAUCAACUAGAGACUGGAUAAAGAAGAUGUGGGGUUUUUAAAAAAUAAAAUGGAGUACUACUCAGCCAUAAAGAAUGACAAACUAGAGACAUUUAUAGCUAAAUGGAUCCACAUUGAGGUGAUACUAUUAAGUGAAAUAAAUAGGACACACAUGUGUAAAUACCAAAUAGUUUCUCUGGUGUGAGAAACUGAAAGUGUAAAUAAGGAUUAAAAUGAAUAAUUGAUAAUGUGCAAUAGGAAGAAAAGGUCUAAAGGAGUAGGGGAAGUGGGAGGGGUAGGGGAAAGGAAAAAAAGGGAAAGGAAAAAAUAUGAGAAAAGGAAAAAAUGGAAACAAAGUCUCUGUAAAUAGAGAAGGGUGGAGGGGGUGAAGGGAGGGCAGGGGAGAGGGGAAAAAUAAGAACCGAGAUGCAUCAUGUAUAGGUGCAAGAUCCCAAUGAUGAAUGUAACUGUAUUGUUUACCUAAAAUGUACCAAUAAAGGAAUUUAAGGAAAAGAAUGUGCCCUGAGAAGUCUCACAGCAUCCCUGAGUUCAGGCUUUCCAGAAGCUCCUGGUUCUGUGAAGAGAGGAAAUGUAUAAGGCACAUGGAGUGGCCAGCGGGAGCAACUCAACCCUGGCCAAAGAGACUGAGCAGGCAGAUUUGUCUGAGUGAUGCUGCCAGUCUCACUGAAGGAACAAGAGCACUGGAAAAUGCUGGAAUUCUGCUCAAGAGGAGGGUGGGCGCAUGGAGGGAGACUAGGAAACAAAGCCAGGUAUGGGCAGGGUAUGGGAAGCAGAGGCGGAAGGGGCCCGAGUAUAAUGUGCCCUCUGCUUUAGCUGCCACAGCUGUGCCCUCUCUGCCCUGAGGAGCUGCACAUUGAGUGGUCAAGGUGACCUCUGAUGAAUGCCCUGGACAGUCUUCUUGACCACCUUGCCCUGGCCCUUCUGCAGCUGGGACUGGUCCUUCAUGGAAGAAGUGUAGGGCACAGGGUUGCCCUGGCAUUUCUCAGGACAGUGUUUAGGGGUCUUUGCCAAUCCAGUGGACUUUGGCCUCCCAGGAAAGCAGUGUCAGGAAGAGCAAGACUGCCUCCCUCAGGCACAUUCUCAUGCCAAGUGUCCUUCUCGAGUGUAUUUCCUGCAGGGUGAGCAGAGGAGGCAGGUGACAACACAGGUGUCCCAGCCCAGAGCAGGAGAUCAGAGCUGAGCGGAGCCCAGAGCAGGGUGAAAUCAUCUUCUCUACCCUCCAGUGGAGGGAUUCAAAACUCAAAGAGGAAAGGGGACCCUGGUGAAGGGACACAGAAAGUCACUGUGGGUGCAGGGCCCCUCGAUGCCCGGUGCUUUCUGCUGCUCCUCUCCUCUGUGCACUAACAUGGGCUCCUCACUGAAGCAUGGUCCUGCCUCAGUAUCCACAGAUAUGGGCCCCUGGGCCCCCUAUGGGUGCCCAAAUCUGAGGAUGCUCUAGUACCUUCCAUAAAAUAUUGUACAACCCCAGUAUAAAUCAUCCCUAGAUGACUUGUGAUGCCUACAGCAGUGUAAGCGCCACCUAAAUAGCUGAUAUGCUGCAUUGUUUGGGGAAUGGCAGGAAGGAAAGUAUGGACAUGUCCUGUACAGGUGCAGCCAUCAUGGCCCUAACUGCACAGUGCAGGGAGACAGCAGGUUCAGUCACAGAUGUGGAUCUGGGACACAGAACACUGGCUGUAUGUGUAGAUAUGCAAAUGCACUUGUCUCUUAAUCUCCCCCUGCACAUAUACACACUAAUCUUCAAAGGAAAAGGUUAGAAAUCAAAUAUACCACCACAAAAACCCUUUAGUUUAACAAAUCAAUGAACUUGGGCCCAGUGAUCAGUUACCGAGUGGAGUCAAGUCAGUUCAUGGAGCAGAGGGUUCCCAGGGCUGCAGUGGGGUCGGGCAGCAUGAAGGUAAGCAGGUGGUCCUACGAGGAACUCCAGCCUGUACAAGUGGCACCAUCUGGCCCAGCCUCGGCCCUGUGCUUCCUCUGGUGCGUGAGGAAAACAGGGCAAGAGCAACCAGUGAUGCCACUGCAAACAAGAAUGCCCGUGUGCUCAUGAACGCACCGUGCUGCUGCAGUUGGCAGCUAGAGGAAGCCGGCUCCUUGGGUUUCUCAGUUGCACCAGAAAUCCCACAUGUGGACCCCUGUGCCCAGGACCUCCUUGAUCCAGCAGCCCUGUCUCCCUGCCAUCUAGUUCUGUGAACUGCUGCCCGUGAAGUUCCCUAAUUUGCCCAUUAGCAGUCACCUGUGGUUGCACCCACUGCCCUGGAUGCUGGCGGUGAUAUGCCUGCUGACUAACUGACAAUUGGCCUUGACUUCAUUAGCUUGUGGAUUCUAGAGAGCUUCGUUGAUGGGAGCUCCUGCCUUCCUGGCUGUCAGUUUCCCUGCUGGUAGCCCUAUCCAUGUAUCAUCACACACCUGACUGAGUCUUGAUUUGCUCUUCAAAAUAUUCAGCUAAGCCUCAUGGAAAGCUUUUUGCCUUGAAACCUAUCUUCAUGUGCAUAUCAGAGCAGUGAGAAGAUAAGCCUGUGCACAACUAACACUCCUGGAGUGCAGAGGACCAUAAAAUUGAUUAUUCCCAAAGCAGGCUGUGAAGAGUUAACCCCACAGCUGGCUUGUUUAUAGAAGUGAGUCUGGCUGAAGCCUACGUGCUGAGGUCAGAGUAACUCACACCCAAAUUCCGUUCCCACAACUAAACCCUUCUGACUAGAAGGACAAUGUUCUAAUUGCAACCAUAUAUUUUGUCUAUUAUGUUCCUAAAUUCGAGAAUGGUUUGUCUUGUCCUUUAUGAGCCUUUUUUACAUUAAUUUCCAUAGAGACUAUUUGUAGCUCGCCUUUAACUCAACUGAUUGCCAGUAAAACUCAGUGCCUGGGACUGGCCAGCAUCUUUGUCAGCUGUACCGGCAUUGGCCAUCCUGGCCCCCACUUUCCCUUCUAGUUCUGUCUCUUAGCGUCUUUUUUCUCAGGCCUGCAUCGUAUACUGGGCAGAUGGGGACUGGAGCAUGGCUCUUCCUAACCCUAGGGAUGCCUGCAGCCCUUCUGCCAAGGACCAAGCAGUGGGGUUACCUCCCUGGACCAGCACCGGCCUUGAGUUCUUCCACAGCCCUGUUGUCAGGCUGUCUGUCUGGCUCCAAACCCAUGUUCCCAUGAGUCCAAAGAUUUUCUGGUUCGAAACGUGGAAAACAAGGUCACUGCACAUUCCAUAAAACAUCAUGAAAUCCAAGUGUGGAGGGAUUUUAGGUCAUGCAGAACUGAAAUCAUAAAGAAACACACAAUGACUAAACAUUUACAGACCGUGGGUUUUCAAUUUUAUAUCAAGGUAUAGUAAGUGCACACAAUGAAGUACUCAGCUCAGUACAUUCUGACAUCUGUUUCAGAGGGUAACAGAAUACACUACCCCCAAACAUGUCACUUUGACAUAAGGAUAAUUCUGAGCUGGAAGAGAAUAAGAAGAAGCAGAUAGAGUGGACCUCCCUUAAGGACCCUGAGGACACCGAGACCGAGGCUAGCUCCAAGCCCCAUGCGGAGCAAACUACAUGACACUGCAUAAGCGACUAGCAGGCAGCGCACAGGUGACCACAGGUAGCUGGAGCUGCAGAGAGCACAGCUGAGACGAUGAGGGGCAGGUGGAGCUGGCUUGGUCCUCCCGCUUCCCAGGAGCCCACCAGAGAGGUCCCUCACAGGAACAAUGGAUACUCUCACCUCCCAGGAAAUUCCAGAGGACGAGGACCUGUGUGCUGGACCCUCCUAUCACUCAGGAAAUGACAGACAUCCUAGGAGCUCUGGAACUGGGGUCAAAGACCCGAUACUAGAACAAACAACCUCCCAGUGCCCCUGUCUGCAAGGGCUUCAGCAGCUGUAGGCCAGGGACCAGGGCAGAGAUCAAUGUGUCUAUUUCUCAUGAUUUCACAAACCACACACAAGGCAGCAGGGGACAUGUCAGGAAACACUGCAGUCAUCGGAGCUGGACCCGCUGACCAGAGUGACCAGGCUGCAGGAACCCAGAGACCUCACCAUCAGACAGGGAUGCAAGGGCAGAGUUGAGGACAAUUUCAAGCUCUGGGACUCAAUCCGUCACUGCAGCGACCCUGGAACUGGGAUGUGUGCCAUGGGUGUGAGGACCCAGCAUGCAGCGGGGUGAGUUUGACAGGCAACCGGGUGCCAGCAGCAAGUGUGGGUGGAUGAGUGCUGCUCUGCAGGGAUCGAACUGGAGCCGGCAGCGUGGGACGCAGCUCAAGCUGAAGAAUGAUUCAAGCCUGGGCAGGAGGAGCAACAGCAGCAAACUAGUGCAGGGCCUGAGCAGGGCUCCCAGGGUCAGAGCUCAGCAGGAGGAGGAAGCAGCACUGACUGGAUGAGGGGUGAGGCCCAGGGACCAAGGGGAACACUCCUGAGAAUCCCAAGAAGCUGAAAUAUGAACAGCAGAUCUUGAGUCUCCGGAGUUCUAUUUUUUGGAUGAAACCCAGGGCCUUGCACUAAGCAUUUGAGGUGCCCACGAGCCCACACCUCCUGUUUUCCAGCUUCCGGGACAUUUUGCUCCACAUCUUUCUCCCGAAGAGACCUUGCUGUGUUCUGAGUUACCUGGCCGGGUGCUGGCUGCACGGGAGGCAGGCAGAACUUGGCAGUCUGGAGAUGUCUGUGCAGCCACAGCAUCCAGGAGACCUCUGCUCCUCCCCACAUCCACACUGGCCAGGCAACCUGGCCGCUGGGAAGGGGGACUGGGUGACCUUCGGUGGGGGACAGACCUGCCUGUUAGCACAGCACAGCAGGGAACCCCGCUUUACCAAGUCCCAGCUCUGCAAUACCAAGAUAUUCAACCCACCACUAACGUCUCCCUUUCUUUGUCUGUGAAAUACCCCAGCAAAAUGUCUAACUCAGUCGCUGUUACAGUUUACGUAACUAUUAACAAGAUUUUAAAAUGCUCUAGUUGGGGGGAGGGUCUCUAACUGGACCCUAAAGCAAACCCCACCCACAUCCUUCCUGCCAGAUGAGCCUGCGCCCCUCCCCAAGCUCAAAGAGUGGAGCUGUCUAGGGCUGGAACCCGCUUUCCUGACCACAGCCCCCUUCCUGAGCCAGGCUUCUGGAGCCAGCCCUGGACACUGCGUCCCUCCAGGCCCUGCACCCCCCUCGCCU